ACGGAAGGCAGCAGUGAGGAAUAUUGGUCAAUGGAGGCAACUCUGAACCAGCCAUCUCGCGUGAAGGAAUACGGCCCUACGGGUCUUAAACUUCUUUUAUAGGGGGAUAAAGUGAGAUAUGUAUAUCUUUUUGUAGGUACCCUAUGAAUAAGCAUCGGCUAACUCCGUGCCAGCAGCCGCGGUAAUACGGAGGAUGCGAGCGUUAUCCGGAUUUAUUGGGUUUAAAGGGUGCGCAGGCGGCACGUUAAGUCAGCGGUGAAAUGCAGGGGCUCAACCCCGGCACUGCCGUUGAAACUGGCGAGCUCGAGUACGGAUGAAGUCGGCGGAAUGUGAUGUGUAGCGGUGAAAUGCUUAGAUAUUACUCAGAACACCGAUUGCGAAGGCAUCUCACGAAACAGCGAUUGACGCUGAGGCACGAAAGCGUGGGGAUCAAACAGGAUUAGAUACCCUGGUA
rnacentral:rRNA from 1 species